rnacentral:rRNA from 1 species
CCUACGGGGGGCUGCAGUGGGGAAUAUUGGACAAUGGGGGCAACCCUGAUCCAGCCAUGUCGCGUGUGUGAAGAAGGCCCUCGGGUUGUAAAGCACUUUCAGUGAGGAAGAACGCCUGGUGGUUAAUACCCAUCAGGAAAGACAUCACUCACAGAAGAAGCACCGGCUAACUCCGUGCCAGCAGCCGCGGUAAUACGGAGGGUGCGAGCGUUAAUCGGAAUUACUGGGCGUAAAGCGCGCGUAGGUGGCUUGAUAAGCCGGUUGUGAAAGCCCCGGGCUCAACCUGGGAACGGCAUCCGGAACUGUCAAGCUAGAGUGCAGGAGAGGAAGGUAGAAUUCCCGGUGUAGCGGUGAAAUGCGUAGAGAUCGGGAGGAAUACCAGUGGCGAAGGCGGCCUUCUGGACUGACACUGACACUGAGGUGCGAAAGCGUGGGUAGCAAACAGGAUUAGAUACCCUUGUAGUC